AAGGGAGACCUAAUUCCGGUAGGAGACGAAAAAAAAGUAGUCCCUACCAAGAAUCAAUCCCAAAAGGUCGAAGCGAGGCAAGAUUGGCUUUCAAACUAGGUUCUGGGUUCAAACAAGACCUGAAUCAGGAACAAGGGCUAUUAGCUCAGGUGGUUAGAGCGCACCCCUGAUAAGGGUGAGGUCCCUGGUUCGAGUCCAGGAUGGCCCACCUGCACAGGUGGCAAAAACAAGAGAAACGAGGAAUCAGCACCUUAUCUUACUUACAUAGUAAGAGAGAAUGCUGGCUCUGAGUAAAGAGUCCAGAGGAACCUUGAAAACUGCAUAGAGCUAGGUGAAAAAGCCAAAAAAGAAGACCGCAA
rnacentral:tRNA from 1 species